rnacentral:rRNA from 1 species
GACAGAGGUGCCAAGCGUUAGGCGGAAUCACUGGGCUUAAAGCGUGUGUAGGUGGAUUUGUAAGUACCUUGUGAAAUCCCAUGGCUCAACCAUGGAACUGCUCGGUAUACUGCGAAUCUUGAGCCACUUAGGGGCUACCGGAACAAAUGGUGGAGCGGUGAAAUGCGUAGAUAUCAGGAGGAACACCGGUGGCGAAGGCGGCCUUCUGGGCCGAUCUUGACGCUGAGACGCGAAAGCGUGGGGAGCAAACAGG